GGAGCCAGAUCCCUCCACAACUCCUUCCAAGGUUCUUCAGUCUUCAAUUGCUCCCGCACUAUGAGGUCAUUGGCCUUACUGACCCUUCUUGGCAUCGUGCUUUACGCCAACUUGGCGUCUCCAGCAGAAGGAGCCGCCAGAAUUUGGUGCCAUAUGAGGCAGCAAACUUGUAGUGACAGAUGGGACGGUUUGCUCUUCGAGAUACCCCUGAAUCUCACUAUGAAGAUGAAAAGUUUCAAACAAUGCCGACGUACUUGUUUCUUCAUGCCCAGUGGACAAUAUGUCUUUGAGGGACAAACGCAUUGCUCCUGUUUUGCAAGUUGCACAUGGAGAAAAUUCGUAAAGAGGAAACCUAGGAAGCAAGGUGGACCUCGGGGAGGGAGUCUAUUGUUGCAUUCCAUUGGGAGCGACCCCAACAACAUCUGUCGUAGACCUGCUCGGAGCUAUUGGUUGCCUCACCUGAAGCAUACUAGAGGGUGAAAUUUGACCAAUUUGACCAUCAUGGACCACCAAAAUGCAUUUAAAAGUGUGUUGUUCCAGGCGGAUAUCUGAGAUUUAUGCGCAAUCUACGCAGUAUAUGGGUGUAGUUUUGAUACCCUGUCUAAAAUAAAGUAGAGCCAAAUCAAAUAUGAAAAUAAAAACCACACGCUUUUGUGGGCCCAACGAAUUCCUCA